UUCCCCAAAUCUUUUAAUCUUCUGCUAUUCCUUUCAACAGUCGUCUCUUUUCUCUCAAUUUUGAUAUCUUAGACGCUCCCUCUCUACUACUCGACGAACGAUAUUCGGAACCUCCCCAACCAGCUCCGAUGGUCAAUCUGUCUUGUUCUGAGCUUUCAUACUUUUUGAUAAUCGUUUUCGAAUCUCCUAUUAUUUGUAAGUCUUUGAGCCCCAUAGACCUUCCUAACUCUAAGGCUUGUAACCCUGCAUGUGCCUCUGCCGCGAAUGGAGUUGCUAUAUUGGUGUGGAUUACUGAUUUUGAAGCCAAAAUCUCCCCUGGCUCACCUCAAACAAUCAAACCUAAAGCAGAUCUUGCUUGUUGCUGAUCGAAAGCUGCAUCAAAGAAGACCGACACACUCGUUCUUCUUUCUUCAGUUCUCGGACCACCAUUUCCUGCCAAAUUACCCAAAGCCCACAACAGAAAAGUUGGCACUGUUCAUUUGACCCUCGACUAAAAACCCAUGACAUCCACGAAAUAUAUGAUUGCAAUCCUCCUCUUCUUGGUUGCAUCGAGGACACCGGGCAUCAGCAACUAUACGUUUAAUCUUCAGAUUAGCAAAAGUAGGAAUGUAAUUCCAAGAAAUUCCUCAUAUUGUAAUAUUGACUUUCGAGGGGAUUUGUAAAUUCCAUAGUUUUUUGUAAAAGGCUUUAUUUUCGGUUUGUAAAUUAAUAGGAUUUUGAGUACCCUCCUGUAAUAGUUUGUAGGCGCUUCUAACUGAAAAAUUACCAGAUGGUUCUCCUCUCCA